UACAGAGGUCUCAAGCGUUGUUCGGAUUCAUUGGGCGUAAAGAGCGUGUAGGCGGCCAGGUAGGUCUGCUGUGAAAACUCGAGGCUCAACCUCGAGAUGUCGGCGGAAACCAUCUGGCUAGAGUCCGGAAGAGGAGAAUGGAAUUCCCGGUGUAGCGGUGAAAUGCGCAGAUAUCAGGAGGAACACCGGUGGCGAAGGCGGGUCUCUGGGCAGUAACUGACACUGAGGCACGAAGGCCAGGGGAGCAAACGGG
rnacentral:rRNA from 1 species